rnacentral:tRNA from 1 species
UGCGAUGCUCUAACCUCUGAGCUAAGCGGGC